UACGUAGGGUGCAAGCGUUGUCCGGAAUUAUUGGGCGUAAAGAGCUCGUAGGCGGUUUGUUGCGUCGGCUGUGAAAUCCCGAGGCUCAACCUCGGGUCUGCAGUCGAUACGAGCAAACUAGAGUGUUGCAGGGGAGACUGGAAUUCCUGGUGUAGCGGUGAAAUGCGCAGAUAUCAGGAGGAACACCGGUGGCGAAGGCGGGUCUCUGGGCAACAACUGACACUGAGGAGCGAAAGCGUGGGGAGCGAACAGG
rnacentral:rRNA from 1 species